UAUUUUUAUAAAUAAUAUUUUUUUUAUAUUUGGUAAAUAAUCCAUGGUACAGAAUAACUAGGUGAGAUUUUUUUUUUUGGUUGAAGAAUAGGCUUCUUUUCUCUUGGGACUGCCAAAGAUUUUUUUCUUCUUCCGCCAAGGUUGAGGUUCGAUUUUGCACAGUAUUUGGUUGUAGCCUCCAUGUCACAAAGUUAAGCAGGAAUGGAUUAGGCCUACGAUGAGAGGCAUUGCCCCGUCUCCAAGGGACUGUCAUAGUUGUACCACCGUUGGGAAAAACUUGUUUGUGUUUAGGGGUACGGAUGGGAUCGAAGAAUCCACUCAAGGAUUUAGUCAUCCUAGAUACAUCGACCAACACAUGGAUGUGUCCAAGAGUACGUGGGGAAGGACCAACACCAUGCGAAGGACAUAGUGCAGCACUUGGGAUGUAAAAUUAUUGAUACCUAAGAAAAAACUAAAGAGGUUAGUUG